rnacentral:misc_RNA from 1 species
GAUGAAGAACGUAGCAAAAUGCGAUAAGUAAUGUGAAUUGCAGAAUUCAGUGAAUCAUCGAAUCUUUGAACGCACAUUGCGCCCGCCAGUAUUCUGGCGGGCAUGCCUGUUCGAGCGUCAUUUCAACCCUCAAGCACAGCUUGGUGUUGGGACUCGCGUUAAUUCGCGUUCCCCAAAUUGAUUGGCGGUCACGUCGAGCUUCCAUAGCGUAGUAGUAAAACCCUCGUUACUGGUAAUCGUCGCGGCCACGCCGUUAAACCCCAACUUCUGAAUGUUGACCUCGGAUCAGGUAGGAAUACCCGCUGAACUUAAGCCUAUCAAUAAGCGGAGGA